CUGGUCUCGAACUCCUGACCUCGUGAUCCGCCCACCUCGGCCUCUCAAAGUGCUGGGAUUACAUGUGUGAGCCACCGCGCCUGGCCUAAGAGUAGUAUGAAGUGGCCCAGGCAAGAGGAACAUAUUCGGACUCGGAGGAAUGAAGGAUGAAAUGUGGGGAGGGGCAGUGUCUAUGUUCUUUUUGUCACCACUGCCAAAGCUGAGGGUUAUUUCCAAAGAAUGAGAGGCUGGGCUGAACAUUGGGCAGGAAGUUAGCAAAAACUAAGGAGGAUAGGAAUCAAGGUUAGAGGGAAGAGAAGAAUGAAAUUGAGUAGGGAGCUGAGAAAGCAGGGCGAGGGGCAUUUGGACUUACAUUUUCUUCCAGCAAAGGUUUCUUAUUUAACCCCUGUGGGCUUAUCUUGCAGCCAAACCCAUCCACCAGCAUGAAGACCGCUGCUUGAGGUUGAAGGUGACUGUCAGUGGCAAAAUCAGUGAGUGUCAGAGCCCUGUGGGCCUCCUUCCUCCAUCUCUAUGCUGGGUGCGGUCUAGUGAUCUAGGAUGGUAUAGAAGUCUUGCAGCCCAGCCCACUCAUACUUACAGCCCUCUGCCUCUUUGAUACAGUACCUGAUCUACUACCACUCUUGUCUUUCAGCUCACAGUCCUCAGGCCCAUGACAAUCCACAGGAGAAGAGACUUGCAGCAGAUGACCCAGAGGUGCGGGUUCUACAUAGCAUCGGUCACAGUGCUGCCCCACGCCUCUUCCCACUUGCCUGGACUGUGCUGCUCCUUCCACUUCUGCUGCUGCAAACCCCGUGAAGGUGUAUGCCACACCUGGCCUUAAAGAGGGACAGGCUGAAGAGAGGGACAGGCACUCCAAACCUGUCUUGGGGCCACUUUCAGAGCCCCCAGCCCUGGGAACCACUCCCACCACAGGCAUAAGCUAUCACCUAGCAGCCUCAAAACGGGUCAGUAUUAAGGGUUUCAACCGGAAGGAGGCCAACCAGCCCGGCAGUGCCAUCCCCACCUUCACCUCGGAGGGAUGGAGAAAGAAGUGGAGACAGUCCUUUCCCACCAUUCCUGCCUUUAAGCCAAAGAAACAAGCUGUGCAGACAUGGUCCCUUAAGGCACAGUGGGAGCUGAGCUGGAAGGGGCCACGUGGAUGGGCAAAGCUUGUCAAAGAUGCCCCCUCCAGGAGAGAGCCAGUAUGCCCAGAUGAACUGACUGAAGGAAAAGCAAGAAACAGUUUCUUGCUUGGGAGCCAGGUACAGGAGAGGCAGCAUGCUUGGGCUGACCCAGCAUCUCCCAGCAAGACCUCAUCUGUGGAGCUGCCACAGAGAAGUUUGUAGCCAGGUACUGCAUUCUCUCCCAUCCUGGGGCAGCACUCCCCAGAGCUGUGCCAGCAGGGGGGCUGUGCCAACCUGUUCUUAGAGUGUAGCUGUUAAGGGCAGUGCCCAUGUGUACAUUCUGCCUAGAGUGUAGCCUAAAGGGCAGGGCCCACGUGUACAGUAUCUGUAUAUAAGUUGCUGUGUGUCUGUCCUGAUUUCUACAACUGGAGUUUUUUUAUACAAUGUUCUUUGUCUCAAAAUAAAGCAAUGUGUUUUUUC
rnacentral:lncRNA from 1 species